UCAAAAGGUAAAAUAAAAGACCUUGACAGUACGAGCUUAUAUGCUUUAAAUCAAAGGGGCCUGGCGGCAUUUAGAAUUAUCAGGGGAAUCUGCUUUUUUAAAACGAUGAUCCACGAAUAUCUUACCCGGCACUUUAAUCUUGCCUACAGUCGUGUAGCUAAUCUUGGGAUAAAACUUAGCUAAAGGAGAGAGUGUUUAAGACAUUUUGUCCUUGACCACAGAUAAAUGUGCAGAGUUUGUUGGGGAAAAGUUGAUUACAGUUUUUAAUUUUAAUGGAUUGGCUGGUGAAAGUUUGGUCAUGAAAGAGGACUUGAAAGUACCUUUCUUAUAGUAAAAGAUUGGGAAUGUUUAACUAAAUGUGU
rnacentral:rRNA from 1 species